rnacentral:rRNA from 1 species
UGGAUCCAGACUUUGAUUCUGGCUCAGGACGAACGCUGGCGGCGCGCCUAACACAUGCAAGUCGAACGGAGCUUAGAGAGCUUGCUUUUUAAGCUUAGUGGCGAACGGGUGAGUAACGCGUGAGUAACCUGCCCUAGAGUGGGGGACAACAGUUGGAAACGACUGCUAAUACCGCAUAAGCCCACGGUACCGCAUGGUACUGAGGGAAAAGGAUUUAUUCGCUUUAGGAUGGACUCGCGUCCAAUUAGCUAGUUGGUGGGGUAACGGCCCACCAAGGCGACGAUUGGUAGCCGGACUGAGAGGUUGAACGGCCACAUUGGGACUGAGACACGGCCCAGACUCCUACGGGAGGCAGCAGUGGGGGAUAUUGCACAAUGGGGGAAACCCUGAUGCAGCGACGCCGCGUGGAGGAAGAAGGUUUUCGGAUUGUAAACUCCUGUCGUUAGGGACGAUAAUGACGGUACCUAACAAGAAAGCACCGGCUAACUACGUGCCAGCAGCCGCGGUAAAACGUAGGGUGCAAGCGUUGUCCGGAAUUACUGGGUGUAAAGGGAGCGCAGGCGGGAAGACAAGUUGGAAGUGAAAACCAUGGGCUCAACCCAUGAAUUGCUUUCAAAACUGUUUUUCUUGAGUAGUGCAGAGGUAGAUGGAAUUCCCGGUGUAGCGGUGGAAUGCGUAGAUAUCGGGAGGAACACCAGUGGCGAAGGCGGUCUACUGGGCACCAACUGACGCUGAGGCUCGAAAGCAUGGGUAGCAAACAGGAUUAGAUACCCUGGUAGUCCAUGCCGUAAACGAUGAUUACUAGGUGUUGGGGGAUUGACCCCCUCAGUGCCGCAGUUAACACAAUAAGUAAUCCACCUGGGGAGUACGACCGCAAGGUUGCAACUCAAAUGAAUUGACGGA